rnacentral:rRNA from 1 species
CCUAAUACAUGCAAGUCGAGCGGACAGAUGGGAGCUUGCUCCCUGAUGUUAGCGGCGGACGGGUGAGUAACACGUGGGUAACCUGCCUGUAAGACUGGGAUAACUCCGGGAAACCGGGGCUAAUACCGGAUGGUUGUUUGAACCGCAUGGUUCAAACAUAAAAGGUGGCUUCGGCUACCACUUACAGAUGGACCCGCGGCGCAUUAGCUAGUUGGUGAGGUAACGGCUCACCAAGGCAACGAUGCGUAGCCGACCUGAGAGGGUGAUCGGCCACACUGGGACUGAGACACGGCCCAGACUCCUACGGGAGGCAGCAGUAGGGAAUCUUCCGCAAUGGACGAAAGUCUGACGGAGCAACGCCGCGUGAGUGAUGAAGGUUUUCGGAUCGUAAAGCUCUGUUGUUAGGGAAGAACAAGUACCGUUCGAAUAGGGCGGUACCUUGACGGUACCUAACCAGAAAGCCACGGCUAACUACGUGCCAGCAGCCGCGGUAAUACGUAGGUGGCAAGCGUUGUCCGGAAUUAUUGGGCGUAAAGGGCUCGCAGGCGGUUUCUUAAGUCUGAUGUGAAAGCCCCCGGCUCAACCGGGGAGGGUCAUUGGAAACUGGGGAACUUGAGUGCAGAAGAGGAGAGUGGAAUUCCACGUGUAGCGGUGAAAUGCGUAGAGAUGUGGAGGAACACCAGUGGCGAAAGGCGACUCUCUGGUCUGUAACUGACGCUGAGGAGCGAAAGCGUGGGGAGCGAACAGGAUUAGAUACCCUGGUAGUCCACGCGUAAACGAUGAGUGCUAGUGUUAGGGGGUUU